UACGAAGGGGGCUAGCGUUGUUCGGAAUCACUGGGCGUAAAGGGCGCGUAGGCGGCCAUAUAAGUCGGGGGUGAAAACCUGUGGCUCAACCACAGAAUUGCCUUCGAUACUGUAUGGCUCGAGACCGGAAGAGGUAAGUGGAACUGCGAGUGUAGAGGUGAAAUUCGUAGAUAUUCGCAAGAACACCAGUGGCGAAGGCGGCUUACUGGUCCGGUUCUGACGCUGAGGCGCGAAAGCGUGGGGAGCAAACAGG
rnacentral:rRNA from 1 species